rnacentral:rRNA from 1 species
CCUACGGGAGGCAGCAGUGAGGAAUAUUGGUCAAUGGACGAGAGUCUGAACCAGCCAAGUAGCGUGAAGGAUGACUGCCCUAUGGGUUGUAAACUUCUUUUAUAAAGGAAUAAAACGAGGCACGUGUGCCUUUUUGCAUGUACUUUAUGAAUAAGGAUCGGCUAACUCCGUGCCAGCAGCCGCGGUAAUACGGAGGAUCCGAGCGUUAUCCGGAUUUAUUGGGUUUAAAGGGAGAGUAGAUGGGUUGUUAAGUCAGUUGUGAAAGUUUGCGGCUCAACCGUAAAAUUGCAAUUGAUACUGGCAGUCUUGAGUACAGUUGAGGUAGGCGGAAUUCGUGGUGUAGCGGUGAAAUGCUUAGAUAUCACGAAGAACCCCGAUUGCGAAGGCAGCUUACUAAACUGUGACUGACAUUGAUGCUCGAAAGUGUGGGUAGCAAACAGGAUUAGAUACCCUAGUAGUC